rnacentral:rRNA from 1 species
AGUGAACGCUGGCGGUAGGCCUAACACAUGCAAGUCGAACGGCAGCACAGUAAGAGCUUGCUCUUACGGGUGGCGAGUGGCGGACGGGUGAGGAAUACAUCGGAAUCUACUUUUUCGUGGGGGAUAACGUAGGGAAACUUACGCUAAUACCGCAUACGACCUACGGGUGAAAGCAGGGGAUCUUCGGACCUUGCGCGAUUGAAUGAGCCGAUGUCGGAUUAGCUAGUUGGCGGGGUAAAGGCCCACCAAGGCGACGAUCCGUAGCUGGUCUGAGAGGAUGAUCAGCCACACUGGAACUGAGACACGGUCCAGACUCCUACGGGAGGCAGCAGUGGGGAAUAUUGGACAAUGGGCGAAAGCCUGAUCCAGCCAUGCCGCGUGGGUGAAGAAGGCCUUCGGGUUGUAAAGCCCUUUUGUUGGGAAAGAAAAGCAGCAGGUGAAUACCCGGCUGUUCUGACGGUACCCAAAGAAUAAGCACCGGCUAACUUCGUG